GCCCGACUAGCUCAUCGGUAGAGCGCCUCACUAGUAAAUACCCUCUUAAACAAUACGAGAAGGACUGUUAUGCUGUAAUGAGGAGGCAACAGGUUCGAUUCCUGUGUUGGGCA